GUGUGUGUGUGUGUGUGUGUUGGAGCUGAAGAGAAAAAAGGCCGAUUUUUUGUGCUUGUGAGCUUACACAACUCUACACCGGGUAGUGUUUGUGUACACCUACACAGGAUGAUCUAAUCAUAAGAGGAAGCUCAGCUGGCUUACACAACAGAAAUGUUUACAGUGAUGGAGAUCAACUGAUGAUGAUGGUACCAGGAAUUGACAAAAUUGACUACUAAAUAUACUGUGGUCAAGGUAAAUAACACGAUGUGUGUGUGUGUGCCUGUGCGUGUAUCCAUGUUACAGAGCGAUUGAACAAUUCCUAUACAGUUGGAAGAGGAAGGUAAAAAUGGUCGGACUGAAGUGACCGUUCACGCCACAGCUCAGUGAUCCAAGCCCUGGACAGUAAAACUUAUUCUAUGUGGACAAACCAGAAAUUGUGUUGGGAUAGUGAAAGCUACGUGCUAGAUUCCAAGCUAUGUCAUUGUUUACCUCAGUGGAAUCCAAAUGCUGCUGGAAUAUAGUGUUGGCUCGCUAGCCCUGUUAUCACCUUGUACAAAUAGUCUGUUGAACCUUGUGCUCUACAUAGCCAGCUCUCUCCAUGCUUUACCAAGGACGGAGCGCUGGACAGCCUCUGCUCCUUGACCAUUCAGGCACAGUAACGUCAGUUGGAAGCUCUGGAAUCUAUGAACAUGAGCAGCUGGUUCUUUUAGGCAAGUCCGUUGGAUGAGGGAGAAACGAGCAGAUCUGCCUGAGCAUCUACGACAAGGACCAAAUCACUAGUCAGACAUCUGGGAUCUGGAACCGUGAUUUCACCAAGCGGCAACUUCUGGGUCUGAGCCAUGAAGCCCAUUCAUCGAGUGGCCGUUUGAGGCUGGCUGCAAAAGGGAGCAAAUCCCCAUAGACCCCCAUGUUAAAAAGCCCAAUUUAACAUCAUUAUUAAACAUGUUUACAGCCUGGU